UACGUAGGUGGCAAGCGUUGUCCGGAAUUAUUGGGCGUAAAGCGCGCGCAGGCGGCCUUUUAAGUCUGAUGUGAAAGCCCACGGCUCAACCGUGGAAGGUCAUUGGAAACUGAAAGGCUUGAGUACAGAAGAGGAAAGCGGAAUUCCACGUGUAGCGGUGAAAUGCGUAGAGAUGUGGAGGAACACCAGUGGCGAAGGCGGCUUUCUGGUCUGUAACUGACGCUGAGGCGCGAAAGCAUGGGGAGCGAACAGG
rnacentral:rRNA from 1 species